rnacentral:rRNA from 1 species
UACGGUCAAAUUACGCUGAAACACCGGUUCUCGUAUGAUCACCGAAGUUAAGCAUCGUAGAGCCAGGUCAGUACUUAGAUGGGGGACCGCUUGGGACACCUGGUACUGUAAGC